rnacentral:rRNA from 1 species
GACGAACGCUGGCGGCGUGCCUAAUACAUGCAAGUAGAACGCUGAAGGAGGAGCUUGCUUCUCUGGAUGAGUUGCGAACGGGUGAGUAACGCGUAGGUAACCUGCCUGGUAGCGGGGGAUAACUAUUGGAAACGAUAGCUAAUACCGCAUAAUAGUAGAUGUUGCAUGACAUUUGCUUAAAAGGUGCAAUUGCAUCACUACCAGAUGGACCUGCGUUGUAUUAGCUAGUUGGUGGGGUAACGGCUCACCAAGGCGACGAUACAUAGCCGACCUGAGAGGGUGAGCGGCCACACUGGGACUGAGACACGGCCCAGACUCCUACGGGAGGCAGCAGUAGGGAAUCUUCGGGAAUGGACGGAAGUCUGAACGAGCAACGCCGCGUGAGUGAAGAAGGUUUUCGGAUCGUAAAGCUCUGUUGUAAGAGAAGAACGAGUGUGAGAGUGGAAAGUUCACACUGUGACGGUAUCUGACCAGAAAGGGACGGCUAACUACGUG